rnacentral:tRNA from 1 species
UCCCUUGUAGCUCAGUCAGUAAAGAAUCUGCCUGCAAUGCAGGAGACCCUGGUUCGAUUCCUAGCUGGGAAA